rnacentral:rRNA from 1 species
CCUACGGGAGGCAGCAGUGAGGAAUAUUGGACAAUGGGCGCAAGCCUGAUCCAGCCAUGCCGCGUGCAGGAUGACGGUCCUAUGGAUUGUAAACUGCUUUUGCACAGGAAGAAACAACGCUACGUGUAGCGUCUUGACGGUACUGUGAGAAUAAGGAUCGGCUAACUCCGUGCCAGCAGCCGCAGUAAUACGGGGGAUCCAAGCGUUAUCCGGAAUCAUUGGGUUUAAAGGGUCCGUAGGCGGUUUAGUAAGUCAGUGGUGAAAGCCCAUCGCUCAACGGUGGAACGGCCAUUGAUACUGCUAGACUUGAAUUAUUAGGAAGUAACUAGAAUAUGUAGUGUAGCGGUGAAAUGCUUAGAGAUUACAUGGAAUACCAAUUGCGAAGGCAGGUUACUACUAAUUGAUUGACGCUGAUGGACGAAAGCGUGGGUAGCGAACAGGAUUAGAUACCCUGGUAGUCCACGCCGUAAACGAUGGAUACUAGNUGUGGUGNAUUAUAGUGNGAGAGAAGUAGAGUAAGUAGUCCGACCGUGGGUAGGUACGUUCGUUCGAAGAAGUUAGUAACGUUACGAAGUUAGAGUUAGUUACGGCGUUGAGACGAGCCGACGGACGACGACGAGGGAGGAGG